GCUUCUUCUUCGUCGUAAGCCCCUUAUCCAUAAAACCAUAUAUUAAUUUAAUAAGAAUUAUACAAUAUUGUUUGAAUUAUAUUUAUAUAAGUCGAAAAGGACAUAUACGAAUUGCAUUGGAUUUGGACCCAAAAAAGAACAGCUAAUAAUAAACAGGUUCUACCAAUUUCGGUGGAAUUCAUUCUUUAAUUUACAGCCAUAUCACACAUGUAUAUAUGGACUUUUUUCAUCACUUUGUCGAAGAGUAUUUAAAAGAAAAAGUGACAGGAAAAAAAAAAGAAAAAGAAGGAAAAGUACAAUACUUUAUCAAAAUGUGUAUUUUUUUGCAACUUAUAUAAAAAAAUAGGAUAUUGGC